AUUACUCUAGUUUACUAGAGACAUCGAUAUCCUUUUUUUAGCUCGAUGGAAAUUUGAUUCUUUUCCUAAAGAUUCUUUCAAAUAGAAAUAGAGAACGAAGUAACUAGAAAAAACAAACGUAUAUUUGUAAAAUACUCCUUUUCUAUAGGGAUCAUCUAAAAAGCAAGGCGUUUUCAAUGUAUUCAUACAGAAAGGCUGACAUAGAUGUUAUGGGUUAGCGGAAUCUUUUUCCCGUGUUCCAUAUUUCUUCUUUUCUGAAUCCCUUCCGUAAAGGAGCCGAAUGAAAC
rnacentral:lncRNA from 1 species